UUUUUCGGUAAAAGACAGUUAGGCAGAAAAAAGAUCAUUAGACCUUUAAUAUAGGGGUAAAAUCUAUAUACUAAAAGUUAUUUUAAUUGUGAUUAUAUCAUAGAUGCUGAAUCUGUGACAACUUUAAGGGAAACUGGGAUUGGAUACCCCACUAUUUCUAGUAGUAAAUUUAAUUUAGGUUUACCAGAGUACUACGAAUAAAAAGUUUAAAACUCAAAGAGCUUGGCGGUGUUUUAGACCUCUCAGGGGAACCUGUCUCAUAAUCGACAAUCCACGCUAGACCUGACCCUUUAUGGCAAUUCAGCCUGUAUACCGUCGUCGUCAGGUAACUUCUUAAAAUAUAGCAGUUAGCCCGAUAAUUUUAUUAAUUGACACGUCAGAUCAAGGUGCAGCUAAUAAAAGGGAGAGGAUGGGUUACAAUUGUAGAUUUAUAAUUACGAAGGGUAUUUAGAAAUAAAAUACUUAAAGGAGGACUUGAAAGUAAUUUUGAUUAUAUAAAUAAAAUGAAUAAGGCUCUGAAACGUG
rnacentral:rRNA from 1 species